UUUCGCAAUGCCCGAAAGGGUGACGAAGCGACGCCGCGUGCGGGAAGAAGGCCUUCGGGUUGUAAACCGCUGUCGGGAGUUAAGAAAUGUAAGGAUGUUAAUAGCAUCUUUGCUUGACUAAGGCUCCGGAGGAAGCCACGGCUAACUCUGUGCCAGCAGCCGCGGUAAUACAGAGGCGGCAAGCGUUGUUCGGAAUUAUUGGGCGUAAAGAGCACGUAGGCGGCUAUGUAAGUCGGUUGUGAAAGCCUUCCCCUCAGCGGGAGAACAGCAUCCGAUACUGCAUGGCUUGAGUGCGGGAGGGGAGAGUGGAACUUCUGGUGGAGCGGUGAAAUGCGUAGAUAUCAGAAGGAACGCCGGCGGCGAAAGCGGCUCUCUGGCCCAUAACUGACGCUGAGUGUGCGAAAGCUAGGGGAGCAAACGGGAUUAGAUACCCCGGUAGUCCUAGCCGUAAACGAUGGGCACUAAGUAGAGGGGUUAAUCUC
rnacentral:rRNA from 1 species